rnacentral:rRNA from 1 species
ACGGGUGAGUAACACGUAGACAACCUGCCGACAGGAUGGGGACAACAUUCCGAAAGGAAUGCUAAUACCGAAUGAAGUGCAGGGGAGGCAUCUCCCCUGCAUGAAAGAUGGCCUCUUUUUAUGCUAUCACCUGUUGAUGGGUCUGCGUCUGAUUAGCUGGUAGGUGAGGUAACGGCUCACCUAGGCGACGAUCAGUAGCCGGUCUGAGAGGAUGAACGGCCACAUUGGGACUGAGACACGGCCCAGACUCC